rnacentral:ncRNA from 1 species
GUUCCUCUGCCUUUUCUUAAACCAGCUUGAACAUCUGGAAGUUCAUGGUUCACGUACUGCUGAAGCAUGGCUUGGAGAAUUUUGAGCAUUACUUUCCUAGCGUGUGAGAUGAGUGCAAUUGUGUGGUAGUUUGAGCAUUCUUUGGCAUUGCAUUGACGACCAGCCACACUGGGACUGAGACACGGCCCAGACUCCUACGGGAGGCAGCAGUGGGGAAUUUUGGACAAUGGGCGAAAGCCUGAUCCAGCCAUGCCGCGUGCAGGAUGAAGGCCUUCGGGUUGUAAACUGCUUUUGUACGGAACGAAAAGACUCUGGUUAAUACCUGGGGUCCAUGACGGUACCGUAAGAAUAAGCACCGGCUAACUACGUGCCAGCAGCCGCGGUAAUACGUAGGGUGCAAGCGUUAAUCGGAAUUACUGGGCGUAAAGCGUGCGCAGGCGGUUAUAUAAGACAGAUGUGAAAUCCCCGGGCUCAACCUGGGAACUGCAUUUGUGACUGUAUAGCUAGAGUACGGCAGAGGGGGAUGGAAUUCCGCGUGUAGCAGUGAAAUGCGUAGAUAUGCGGAGGAACACCGAUGGCGAAGGCAAUCCCCUGGGCCUGUACUGACUGAUCACGUGGCUAUCAUGCACUGAUCACGUGGCUA